rnacentral:rRNA from 1 species
AACGAACGCUGGCGGCAGGCUUAACACAUGCGAGUCGAGCGAGACCUUCGGGUCUAGCGGCGGACGGGUGAGUAACGCGUGGGAACGUGCCCUUCUCUACGGAAUAGCCCCGGGAAACUGGGAGUAAUACCGUAUACGCCCUUUGGGGGAAAGAUUUAUCGGAGAAGGAUCGGCCCGCGUUGGAUUAGGUAGUUGGUGGGGUAAUGGCCCACCAAGCCGACGAUCCAUAGCUGGUUUGAGAGGAUGAUCAGCCACACUGGGACUGAGACACGGCCCAGACUCCUACGGGAGGCAGCAGUGGGGAAUCUUAGACAAUGGGGGCAACCCUGAUCUAGCCAUGCCGCGUGAGUGAUGAAGGCCUUAGGGUUGUAAAGCUCUUUCAGCUGGGAAGAUAAUGACGGUACCAGCAGAAGAAGCCCCGGCUAACUCCGUG